AGUCCACAAAGGAAAAGAGCCCAGAGACAGUCUUGAGGCCAUCCACUAGGUACCAGAAGGAAAGCUGAGGGGGCACCAAAGACAAUAAAGGUGUCUGAAGAGGCCACACACGUGUGCACCUGUGUGUGUGUUCCGGUCUGAGGAUUUGGUGCACACCUGCAGACCCACUGUGUUUUCCAAGCGACUGGGCGGAGAUAUGAACUGCAGUCAGCCACAGCUCAACUCAUGUGUCACUUUCCUGGGAAACGUCUUCCUACAUACAGAUCCAGCCCCACUGUUGACACCCUCAGAGCGUCAUGAC